rnacentral:piRNA from 1 species
UCCCUGUUAGGUGUAAGAUGAACAAAG